UACAUGUGGGGCAAGCGUUGUUCGGAAUUACUGGGCAUAAAGGGUGCGUAGGUGGUUUGUUAAGUCAGGGGUGAAAUCCCGCGGCCCAACCGUGGAACUGCCUUUGAUACUGGCGAACUUGAGUGCGUGAGGGGUAGGGGGAACGAGCAGUGUAGCGUUGAAAUGCGUAGAUAUUGCUCGGAAGGCCAGAGCCGAAGGGGCCCUACUGGUGCGCAACUGACACUGAGGCACGAAAGCGUGGGGAGCAAACAGG
rnacentral:rRNA from 1 species